rnacentral:tRNA from 1 species
UGGGUUGUGGCUCAGCGGUAGAGCACUUGCCUAGCACAUUUGAGGCCCUGGGUUUGAGCCUCAGCAGCACAU